AGUCACUGACAUUAGAUACCCGUGUAGUCCCAGCCGUAAACUAUGCGCGUUAGGUGUACUGGUGACCACGAGUCACCGGGGUGCCGAAGGGAAACCGUGAAACGUGCCGCCUGGGAAGUACGGUCGCAAGGCUGAAACUUAAAGGAAUUGGCGGGGGAGCACCGCAACGGGAGGAGCGUGCGGUUUAAUUGGAUUCAACACCGUAAACUCACCAGGGAAGACUGUUACAUGAAGGCCGAGAUGAAGACUCUGCUAGAUUUUCAG
rnacentral:rRNA from 1 species